UACAUGAUGAACCGCAUCCGGCAUAAUUAUCCAUCACUGAUCCGAUGCCUACGAGUUUUCCAUAUACUUGUUCUCGCUUAUUUUACUUUCCCGCUGCUACUGUUACAAUCACUACAAAAUAUCAAAAACAUUAUUUUUGUUGUCUCUACUUUUGUUGCUGCUACCACCACUAUCAUAUUACUUCCCUACUAAACACUUUGCUGCAGAUACUAAGUUUUCAGGUGUGGUUGAAUUGACAACUCAGCCGCUAAUACUUGAGAAUAUUCUUUGGCUCCCCUUGUGUCGAAUCAAUAAAUUUGGGUUGAAUACUCUACCCUCGAAAGCUGUUGCGAUCCCUUAUACUUGUGGGUUAUCAAGGAGCCGCAGCUGGUUUCUGCGUAGAGCCCCGCUCUCUCUUGAGAAGUCGGCCGCCGCCUCCAUCGUGGGGUCGGCGGAGACUUCCACCACCACCUGGAGGAUCGAUCCGGCCGCCAACCUCCGGGAGGCGACGGAGCGGAACGCGCGGGAGGCACACGAAGAGCGGGAAGCCGCCCGCCUGGAGAAGGCGGAAGCGGACAGGGCGGAAACCGCCGCCAUGAAGAAGCUGGCGGAGGCCGAAGCCGCCACUAUGCUGAAGAAGCAGGCUGAGGAAGCCGCGUGCCGUCAGUCGGCGGUGUUUGUUGUCCUCCUGAACUCUGCGCCGCCGCCAAUGGAGUUCGUGGCGCGGACUGGGGAAGCCAGCGGCGAGCACCCUAUCAUGGAAAGGGACAACGGCGAUGUUGCCAUGCCGAAUGUGAUCAUGCCCCCGCCACCUCCUUCUGAGGAGGCGUGAGACAAGCAGCUGGCCGACCCGCCGGCGCUACCAGCCGGAAACGAGAUGGUGACGGGCCCGACUCCCGGGGUCCGCACACCCUUACGCCGCCGGCUCGCGAAGGCGGCCUCGGCGCCGCGCCCACUGGAGGCCGGCACCGCAAGCUCCUCGAUCCCGGACACCAAGGCGACCAUCGCCGCACCCACUGGGUGGGUGUGGGGAGGCGGGACGGGCCCUCUGAACAAGGCGAUUCUGGACGUUCAAGCCAAACUCCGCGUCGAGGCCGACGCUCUCAAGCUCUGCAACAAGGCGUUCCUGGAGUCACGAGAGGCCGUCCGGGUAUACUUCUUGCUUCUUUGUUUUUAAUUCUUGUAUUGCUUCGUGGGGGCGCGCCAACGCACCCACUGGGUGUAGUCCCCGAGCUGUGGGUCGGCUGCUGAGCAGGCGGCCUGGAACUCUAAUUAGCGAGCUCCAAGUACUAACAUAUUUGCUGCAGGAUUAUCAUAACCUUCGUGCGGCCGCCUUCAACUCCAGAGUCCAGGAGUUGGAUCAACGUGCCGCCGACUUGUCGGAGAGCCGGAAGGCCAAUGCCACCCUUUAACGGCAACUGGGCGAAGCCAACGCCGCGCUUCAUACCAAGGAGGUGGACUGCGGCAAGCUGGCCGAAGAGCACGAUCGGCUGGUCGUGCGACUGGUGGAGCAGGCGGAGCUUCUCCAGAAGGCUCAGAAGGAGGCGGAGGACAAGGAGGCGGGUCUUCUUGCGGAGUUCGAGAUCGAACGCUCCGCCUGGACUGACAAGGAGGCGAUGCUGACGGCCGGCGUUGGCGAAAUCAAGGAUAUGGUCGACGACUUCUUCCCAGGUCACUCUGGUGCCGCCAACCAGGCUAUCGAGGCCGACCACGAAGGACGAAGGGCAGAAGGCGAGGAGAUCGCCGCCAACGCCCCUUGCACUCUUCGCGAGCAGCUUCUCAACAUCCAGGCUCGUCUUCGGCCGACUCAUCGGAUGCUGCGCCGUCUUCAGCGUGUCGGCGCCCAGGCGAUCGCCGCCCUGUGGCCCGAUAUGCCGGCCCCGCACACCCCCAGCUGGACUGUCGACUGACUAGAGGUGGCGGCUGGCCGCCUUGAGGCGUGGAAGGGCUCCUCGGCCCGGGCCGGAGCACGCCGGGCCUUGGAGUUCGUCAAGGCUGUCAGGACCUCGAUUCCAAGCCACAUCGAUCUAGCCGGUAACACCUCAUAUCACUUUGCGGCCUCACUCACGGUAUCCCACGGGUGUCGCCUU